ACAAUAGAGGCGCGGAAAGCAGGGUACUGGCACAUGUGUGAGAGGGCACUCGUGAGCAGGUCGGGAAGGGGCUUUCCGCCGAAGGGAUACGGCAGCGCCCGCGCCGCAUUCUUGGGAGCGUUAUGCAAGUAACGUUACUGUCAUGUUUUGUAACAUGGAGCGCUAUUGGU
rnacentral:ncRNA from 1 species